CCCAGCCCCGUAGAGGGCAGCAUCCCGGAGGCCGGGGAUGGAGCGAGCGGGUGUGCCGGUCCGGCCGGGGACCCGGACGCGGGAUUUGCGUCGUCUCCUGCCCAGCACGGCUUUUCCUCCGUGUUGUCUCGUGACAUGAGCCUGGGUCAUUCCACAGCCAGGCGACCCACAGCGCCACAAGCAAGAGGGUGAGUGCGAAGGAGGAGAGGAGGAAGAGGCCGUUGCUGUCCAGGAAGAGGCGUUUGCGCUGCUGGUGCAGGACGAGGGCCAGCAUGGCGAAGAAGGUGAAGAUGAAGAGGAUGAAGAUCUGGCCCUCGGUGACCAGGGACUCGCUCUGUCACUCGGGCUGGAGUGUAGUGGCUCAAGA